rnacentral:rRNA from 1 species
UACGUAGGGGGCAAGCGUUGUCCGGAAUCAUUGGGCGUAAAGAGCGUGUAGGCGGCCAGAUAAGUCCGCUGUGAAAACUCGAGGCUCAACUUCGAGCUGUCGGCGGAAACUAUCUGGCUAGAGUCCGGAAGAGGAGAGUGGAAUUCCUGGUGUAGCGGUGAAAUGCGCAGAUAUCAGGAAGAACACCCGUGGCGAAGGCGGCUCUCUGGGACGGUACUGACGCUGAGACGCGAAAGCGUGGGGAGCGAACAGG